rnacentral:rRNA from 1 species
UACGGAGGGUGCAAGCGUUGCUCGGAAUUAUUUGGGCGUAAAGGGGUAGGUAGGUGGUCUUAUUUUGUCUGGGGUGAAAUCCUUUGAGCUUAACUCAAGAAGUGCCCCAGAAACGGUAAGACUCGAGUGCUGGAGAGGGGUCGUGGGAAUUCCCCGGUGUAGCGGUGAAAUGCGUAGAGAUCGGGGAGGAACACCAGAGGCGAAGGCGGGCGACCUGGGACAGUGACUGACACUCAACUACGAAAGCGUGGGGAGCAAACAGG